rnacentral:sRNA from 19 species
UCUACCUGCCUUUCAGGCAUCCUCUCCCAAGACUUUUCCAGCCCGGUUGGUUCGCCAGCCGGGCUUUUUUUCUUGCGCC